rnacentral:rRNA from 1 species
UACGUAGGGUGCAAGCGUUAUCCGGAUUUACUGGGCAUAAAGGGCGUGCAGGUGGUAAUUUAAGUCAGAUGUCAAAUCCAACAGCUCAACUGUUGCACGCAUUUGAAACUGAAUUACUAGAGAUCAGGAGAGGGAAGCGGAACUUAUGGUGUAGCGGUGAAAUGCGUAGAUAUCAUAAGGAACACCAGUUGCGAAGGCGGCUUCCUGGACUGAAUCUGACACUCAUACGCGAAAGCAUGGGGAGCGAACG